AAGGAUUUAAUGGAUUUUUUUGGUAUUUUUUAAAAUUUGAUCAUUU
rnacentral:sRNA from 1 species